rnacentral:lncRNA from 1 species
UGAGGCUAAUUGGGGUUCCAUCGUGAAGGGGUCUAUCCUUUGGAAUAUAUAGAAUAGACCACAUAGCUCGUGAUGUCGAUUGGUAUUUUCUAUUAAAAGAGGAAGGAGCAAUAAAAUGGAGAGGUAUAUGGUCGCUUCAUGUGGUCAAUCAAGCACUCGCUCGGCUCGUAUCUAAUAGAGAAAAUUAGUUUAGUUUAGUUUUGUGUAAAAUAUUUAGAAGGAAUGAAAUUGAAGUUAUAUAUUAUUAUUUUGGUGCUCUGCCUCUACACAUCACUCCACUCAUUGUAUACCAUGUUUUUAAGCCCGCCCAAUAUAAUUCCACACAAAAGCAGAACUCCUACUGCGUGUUAGUUUUGGAUGAUGAUGAUGAUGAUGAUGACCUUAAAAUCUUAUUGAUGACGACCUUAAAAUCUUUCCUAUACUUUAUGAAGGAAAGUUAUAUGAUAUCAUUUGAUUGAUUGAAUGAAUGGAUUAUCUACUUUUCUAUGCAAAUAUAUUUUAU